rnacentral:rRNA from 1 species
GACGAACGCUGGCGGCGUGCUUAACACAUGCAAGUCGAACGGAAAGGCCCUGCUUUUGUGGGGUGCUCGAGUGGCGAACGGGUGAGUAACACGUGAGUAACCUGCCCUUGACUUUGGGAUAACUUCAGGAAACUGGGGCUAAUACCGGAUAGGAGCUCCUGCUGCAUGGUGGGGGUUGGAAAGUUUCGGCGGGUGGGGAUGGACUCGCGGCUUAUCAGCUUGUUGGUGGGGUAGUGGCUUACCAAGGCUUUGACGGGUAGCCGGCCUGAGAGGGUGACCGGCCACAUUGGGACUGAGAUACGGCCCAGACUCCUACGGGAGGCAGCAGUGGGGAAUAUUGCACAAUGGGCGGAAGCCUGAUGCAGCACCGCCGCGUGCGGGAUGACGGCCUUCGGGUUGUAAACCGCUUUCGCCUGUGACGAAGCGUGAGUGACGGUAAUGGGUAAAGAAGCACCGGCUAACUACGUG